GCUACCACGCAAGUCGAGCGAAGAAGCUCCUUCGGGAGUGGAUUAGCGGCGGACGGGUGAGUAACACGUGGGCAACCUGGCUCAAAGAGGGGGAUAGCCUCCCGAAAGGGAGAUUAAUACCGCAUAAGAGGUAAAUAUCACAUGGUAAAUACCUUAAAGGAGAAAUUCGCUUUGAGAUGGGCCCGCGUCGCAUUAGCUAGUUGGCGGGAUAACAGCCCACCAAGGCGACGAUGCGUAGCCGACCUGAGAGGGUGAACGGCCACAUUGGAACUGAGAGACGGUCCAGACUCCUACGGGAGGCAGCAGUGGGGAAUAUUGCACAAUGGGGGAAACCCUGAUGCAGCAACGCCGCGUGAGUGAAGAAGGUUUUCGGAUCGUAAAGCUCUGUCAUCCGGGACGAUAAUGACGGUACCGGAAGAGGAAGCCACGGCUAACUACGUGCCAGCAGCCGCGGUAAUACGUAGGUGGCGAGCGUUGUCCGGAAUUACUGGGCGUAAAGGGUGUGCAGGCGGAUAUUUAAGUGAGAUGUGAAAGACCCGGGCUUAACCCGGGCAGUGCAUUUCAAACUGGAUAUCUAGAGUGCAGGAGAGGAGAAUGGAAUUCCUAGUGUAGCGGUGAAAUGCGUAGAGAUUAGGAAGAACACCAGUGGCGAAGGCGAUUCUCUGGACUGUAACUGACGCUGAGGCACGAAAGCGUGGGUAGCAAACAGGAUUAGAUACCCUGGUAGUCCACGCCGUA
rnacentral:rRNA from 1 species